GACGAACGCUGGCGGCGUGCCUAACACAUGCAAGUCGAGCGAAUGAAGUUCCUUCGGGAACGGAUUUAGCGGCGGACGGGUGAGUAACACGUGGGCAACCUGCCUCCUAGAGGGGAAUAGCCUUCCGAAAGGGAGAUUAAUACCGCAUAAGAUUGUAGUACCGCAUGGUACAGCAAUUAAAGGAGCAAUCCGCUAUGAGAUGGGCCCGCGGCGCAUUAGCUAGUUGGUGAGGUAACGGCUCACCAAGGCGACGAUGCGUAGCCGACCUGAGAGGGUGAUCGGCCACAUUGGGACUGGGCCACGGCCGAGACUCCUACGGGAGGCAGCAGUGGCGGAUAUUGCACAAUGGGGGAAGCCCUGAUGCAGCAACGCCGCGUGAGUGAUGACGGCCUUCGGGUUGUAAAGCUCUGUCUUCAGGGACGAUAAUGACGGUACCUGAGGAGGAAGCCACGGCUAACUACGUG
rnacentral:rRNA from 1 species